CCUACGGGGGCUGCAGUGGGGAAUAUUGGACAAUGGGCGAAAGCCUGAUCCAGCCAUGCCGCGUGUGUGAAGAAGGCCUUCGGGUUGUAAAGCACUUUCAGUGGGGAAGAAAGCCUUGGGGCUAAUACCCUCGAGGAAGGACAUCACCCACAGAAGAAGCACCGGCUAACUCCGUGCCAGCAGCCGCGGUAAUACGGAGGGUGCGAGCGUUAAUCGGAAUUACUGGGCGUAAAGCGCGCGUAGGCGGUCUGAUAAGCCGGUUGUGAAAGCCCCGGGCUCAACCUGGGAACGACAUCCGGAACUGUCAGGCUAGAGUGCAGGAGAGGAAGGUAGAAUUCCCGGUGUAGCGGUGAAAUGCGUAGAGAUCGGGAGGAAUACCAGUGGCGAAGGCGGCCUUCUGGACUGACACUGACGCUGAGGUGCGAAAGCGUGGGUAGCAAACAGGAUUAGAUACCCUAGUAGUC
rnacentral:rRNA from 1 species